UCAUUAAUGGAAGCCAAAAACCAGUCUGAAUGACCUUGAGGCUACUCAGACUUCUUAAUACUGUUAAGAAGAUUGCAAGUAGAUCAUGGUUUACACAGGAGAUUUGUUACUAAGAAACUAGAAAUGGAAAUUUUGCACCUGGAAUGAUGUUGGAAGGUUUAUUUUCAAUUAAACCUACAAGUGACUCCUUAUGUAACAUGGAAUUAAUGUACUUCUCUUAAGCAUUUAGAAUUCUUAAUGCUGGAUUAUCUGAUAGUCGGUGUAGAAUAUUAUGAACAUGUACUUUCAUCUCAGUAUCGUGGGAACAGAACUAUUUAAGAGCUCUAACAUGAUGGUGCUGGGAACUGAACCUGGGACCCAAGAGACUCAGCACACAAUAUUUUGACUGGUUUCCAUGUCUGCCUAGAAGGGAGAACCAAGUCCUCUGUGAGAAGAAGGCUGCCACUCUUAACACCACAGAAAUACCCGGAAGCAAACUAGAUGGCACAGGCAAGACCGCCAAACAGGAGGGAAAUAAAGACACAAAAAUUCAAAGUUCUUUUCAAGGUAGAAGAUGAAAAAUAAAAUAAGCAUGGAAUCAGAUCCAAGAUUACCUCUUAA